rnacentral:rRNA from 1 species
CCUACGGGUGGCAGCAGUGAGGAAUAUUGGUCAAUGGACGCGAGCCUGAACCAGCCAAGUAGCGUGAAGGAUGACUGCCCUAUGGGUUGUAAACUUCUUUUAUAAGGGAAUAAAACGUUCCACGUGUGGGUUUUUGUAUGUACCUUAUGAAUAAGGAUCGGCUAACUCCGUGCCAGCAGCCGCGGUAAUACGGAGGAUCCGAGCGUUAUCCGGAUUUAUUGGGUUUAAAGGGAGCGUAGGUGGGUUGUUAAGUCAGUUGUGAAAGUUUGCGGCUCAACCGUAAAAUUGCAGUUGAUACUGGCAGUCUUGAGUACAGUAGAGGUAGGCGGAAUUCGUGGUGUAGCGGUGAAAUGCUUAGAUAUCACGAAGAACUCCGAUUGCGAAGGCAGUUUACUGAACUGCAACUGACAUUGAGGCUCGAAAGUGUGGGUAUCAAACAGGAUUAGAUACCCCAGUAGUC